rnacentral:rRNA from 1 species
CACGAACGCUGGCGGCAGGCUUAACACAUGCAAGUCGAGCGCCCCGCAAGGGGAGCGGCAGACGGGUGAGUAACGCGUGGGAAUCCACCCAUCUCUACGGAAUAACGCAUGGAAACGUGUGCUAAUACCGUAUACGUCCUUCGGGAGAAAGAUUUAUCGGAGAUGGAUGAGCCCGCGGUGGAUUAGCUAGUUGGUGGGGUAAAGGCCUACCAAGGCGACGAUCAUAGAUGGUCUGAGAGGAUGAUCAGCCACACUGGGACUGAGACACGGCCCAGACUCCUACGGGAGGCAGCAGUGGGGAAUAUUGGACAAUGGGCGCAAGCCUGAUCCAGCCAUGCCGCGUGAGUGAUGAAGGCCCUAGGGUUGUAAAGCUCUUUCACCGGUGAAGAUAAUGACGGUAACCGGAGAAGAAGCCCCGGCUAACUUCGUGCCAGCCGCCGCCGUAAGAC